GCUUAGCUCAGUGGUAGAGUGUGCACUUUUGUCUGCAGAAGCUCCCGGGUUCAAGCCCUGGCAUCUACA